CCUACGGGAGGCAGCAGUGGGGAAUAUUGCACAAUGGGGGAAACCCUGAUGCAGCGACGCCGCGUGAGUGAAGAAGUAUUUCGGUAUGUAAAGCCCUGUCAGCAGGGAAGAAAAUGACGGUACCUGACCAAGAAGCCCCGGCUAACUACGGGCCAGCAGCCGCGGUAAUACGUAGGGGGCAAGCGUUAUCCGGAUUUACUGGGUGUAAAGGGAGCUUAGACGGCAGGGCAAGUCUGGAGGGAAAGGCGGGGGCUCAACCCCCGGACUGCUCUGGAAACUGGCAGGCUGGAGUGCAGGAGAGGUAAGUGGAAUUCCUGGUGUAGCGGUGAAAUGCGUAGAUAUUAGGAGGAACACCAGUGGCGAAGGCGGCUUACUGGACUGUAACUGACGUUGAGGCUCGAAAGCGUGGGGAGCAAACAGGAUUAGAUACCCCUGUAGUC
rnacentral:rRNA from 1 species